rnacentral:lncRNA from 10 species
ACUCCACUCCCAUGGGAAAUACCCAACAGAAUCAGACAGGAAACCCCAAAGUGCCACUGAAAAGCAAUUGAGAGCCCCACUUUGGUACACCUGAUGGGAGCGGAGAGUUAGAGAGGCAGGAAAUAACCUCCACUCCAGGGUAGAAGUAGACAGGAGAUGGGAUGGAAGGUUUCUGCAUGCUGGGACUAGCUCAGGUCAAAGUCCAGAACUCCAGAAAACAAGGCCUGCCCCCAGCUCAGAGCAGCUACCACAGCACAAAAUGGUGUGGAAUCCAGGAGCCAGGAUGAAGCGUAGGGGUAGACGGUGGUUGGAUAGCUAACUGGCCUUUCCACUGCUCUAGCCUGGAACUGGUUGGGCUGGGGCAGGGGACAUGUUGGUCUGAGUAUAGAUUUUGUCAGAAAACCCAGGCACCACUCCCUUGCCUUUGCGGGGUGAUUCUAAAAUUGGACUGUGGUAAGGGUUGCACAACUCCUCAAGUUUAUUAAAAUCAUUAAAAUGUAAACUUACAACCUGUGGGUUUUAUGGUAUGUAAAUUAUACCUCAAUAAAGCUGUCUAAUAUCUGCA